AUGGCCUCUGCACGCAUCUCGACACUUGUGAUUCUCUUUACACUCAGUGGACUGAGAGCUCAGUCGGUGACUCAGCCACGUCAGGUCACCGCCACCGAAGGGGAUCCAGUGACUGUGAAGUGCACCUAUUCAGUUUCAGGGACCCCUUAUCUCUUUUGGUAUGUCCAACAUCGCAGUCAAGGUCUCCAGUUCCUUCUGAAAUACAUCACAGGGGACAACCUGGUGAAAGGCAACUAUGAUUUUGAGGCUGAAUUUAAUAAGAGCCAAACCUCUUUCCACCUGAAGAAACCAUCUGUUUUAGGGAGCGACUCUGCCUUGUACUUCUGUGCUGUGAUAGACACAGUGGCAGGGCCUGCAGGGAGAGCUGAAUACAAACCCCUGAGCACAGAAAAACCAUUUUCCUGA